CGUCAUGACAUGUUUUUUACGUAUAAUAUUUUUAGUUUAUUUUGUCAGUGAACUUAUAUUUCGAUUUAACAAUUCAAAUUAUAUUAGUAUAGCAAGGAAGAAGUUAAUAGUAAGUAGAAAUAUUUUUUUAUUUGUUUUAAUUGACAUCGCUUUAUGUUAAGGUAACGACAAUAUUUACUUCACAAGAAAUAAUUGUUGUUUGAUUCACUGGACGAUAGUGUAAAUAGAGAACUAAUCAUCAGCCACAAGGGACGAAACACAUAAGAGCCUGUAGUUGGCUGUGCAUUGACUAUGUACAUAAAUAUAUAUGCACAAAACACUUUAUUACGCUUAGAUAGCAAGUUCAAGUCCAGAUAAACAAGGAAGGCAAAUGGCAGUUAAGCAAAACUAAGAAGAAAUAUUACAGUUUAAAACAGAAGGGAUGUUUCCGUUACGAUUAUUUUUAGAAGAACUCAUACCUGUGGAACCUUCAUACAGAAUUAUAUCUUGUAAAAUUACGCUCGAAAAGCUCUUCAAAGGGAAAUGUGUAUUUUGGUUUAGUUAAUGUUAUUUGGAACCACAUUCAGGGAAUUGCAUUACAUUGUAUACAAAUUGUGCUAUUUUAUAUACUUUCUUAUUGAAAUAAAUUAUAUUCCUUUAAUAAAGUGAAAAU